CCGCUCAAAGAAAGAAACACAAGAAGAGAGGGAGGAGAGGGGGAGAGUAGAAAAGCAAAUGCCGACGGCAUUUUGUUAAAGCCAGAAAGUCCGAGAUUUCCCGCCCCGCCCCUCUCCAUUUAUAAAGUCUCUUCGCCUAAGACCAGGGAUUUGCCAUCCAGACAGUCGCCUGUCACACCUCAAAAGGAAGGCUCGGUCGCGGAGGGAGGGGUGUGUGUGUGUGUGUGUUAAUGCCAAGGUUAACGGGAAAGAAUGUUGAUUGGAAAUGUUACAAGGAAAAACCAUUGUAUAGAUAGUUGAUGCUUUAACGGUUCAAUUCCCUCCGAGUGGCCUCCGAGUCGCCAGCUCUUCCUCUUCCUCGUCCUUGUCAUAUUUCGUUACCAUCCGAGCAACCUGCGCCACCAAAUAAGCUCAGGCCAAUUUAUUUUCCAUAACAACUGUGCUCUGCACUGCUGGCUGCAAAGAAAACAGAGAAAACAACCAACGAAUCGGAAGGAAAAUUCUACAAAAAAAAACUCUGUUGCCCUUCAACUACGACUACAACCCAGAAGCAGGGAAAAAUAACGAACGAACGUCAACCCUCCCAAAAAUUGGCACAGUCAACUCCACGCGUUAGACACGCUGUCCCCCUCCCCUCCCCCCCCAUCCUUUUCCAUACCUUCGAUUCUGGCCCGUCUCUCGAUGUGCAUUACAUUCAGUUGAUGUUGGGCACAGCAGAGCACACAGAGCACAGCACAGCCCAGCACACAUAUCCAUUGUUUACAGGCCUAUUCGUAAUUUUCUGUAGCAGACAGAGCAAAAACAACAACAGGAAUAACAACGAUACCACGGGCACAGACGGACGGGCUAUCCUCCGUUCUCUCUUUCGGUGGGGCCAGGGGCCCGGGGCAGAGGCUGAGGCAGGGGCAGGGACAGGGGCCAAUCUGAGAGCAUGUCGGGGAUCCAUGCAAAUUUCGAGGUUGGCUCUGGCUUUUUACUAUGGAAAUGAAGAUGAGAAAUUGUUCAUCGACUUGUUUUUCUCUGUUUAGCUGAUGCCCUGUACUAGAGGCAUGGUGCGAGGGGCGGGGGGGAUUUGUUGUGUGUAACCCCCAUAUAAAAGAGUACGGGUUUCACGACAGCCACAGAUUUUUCCCAUAUUUUAUAAUAGUUUUAUAACAGCCGAAUUUGUGUAUGUAAAUGAAAGAAUAACAGUAUAACGGAUUAAAGAGUGCCAAAGAAAAGGUAAAUUGAACAGUUGCAUGCGAGGGAAACAUUUUAUACGCAAGUAUAACAGUUUCUAGGGAUAUAUAACAGUUUGUAUAACAGUUUUAAUGUUGUACACCAACACGUAAGAAAUUGAAUUAUAUUAGAUUAAGUUCUGUAUAACAGUAUAAAACUUUGUAUAACAGUUUAAAUUCAUGCAUCUCUAUGAGUAAGC
rnacentral:sRNA from 1 species